rnacentral:tRNA from 1 species
UCGCCGACCGGCUCGGCGAGCUGGGCCGGGGCCUGGCGGGCUUCGUGGAGGAGAUCGGGCCGGGCUGGUCCGAGACCGUCGUGGUGGU